rnacentral:rRNA from 1 species
GACGAACGCUGGCGGCGUGCUUCACACAUGCAAGUCGAACGGGGAUGCAGCAAAAGCUUGCUUUUAUUGCAUCCUAGUGGCGGACGGGUGAGUAACACGUGAGCAACCUGCCCGACAUACCGGGAUAACAGCGGGAAACCGUUGCUAAUACCGGAUACUCCGUUUCUGGCGCAUGUCAGAGAUGGGAAAGGGUUUACCGAUGUCGGAUGGGCUCGCGUCCCAUUAGCUGGUUGGUGAGGUAACGGCUCACCAAGGCUGCGAUGGGUAGCUGGUCUGAGAGGACGAUCAGACACACUGGACCUGAGACACGGUCCAGACUCCUACGGGAGGCAGCAGUGGGGAAUAUUGCACAAUGGGCGAAAGCCUGAUGCAGCGACGCCGCGUGGAGGAUGAAGGCCUUCGGGUCGUAAACUCCUGUCUGGGGGGAUGAACACUGACAGUACCCCCGGAGGAAGCCCCGGCUAACUACGUGCCAGCAGCCGCCGUAA